rnacentral:rRNA from 1 species
AACCCGCCCAAGAGAUCGGGAUAACACCUGGAAACAGAUGCUAAUACCGGAUAACAACAGAUGAUGCCUAUCAACUGUUUAAAAGAUGGUUCUGCUAUCACUCUUGGAUGGACCUGCGGUGCAUUAGCUAGUUGGUAGGGUAACGGCCUACCAAGGCGAUGAUGCAUAGCCGAGUUGAGAGACUGAUCGGCCACAUUGGGACUGAGACACGGCCCAAACUCCUACGGGAGGCAGCAGCC